UACGGGGGGGGCAAGCGUUGUUCGGAAUUACUGGGCGUAAAGGGCUCGUAGGUGGUCAACUAAGUCGGACGUGAAAUCCCUCGGCUUAACCGGGGAACUGCGUCCGAUACUGGAUGACUUGAGUUCGGGAGAGGGAUGCGGAAUUCCAGGUGUAGCGGUGAAAUUCGUAGAUAUCUGGAGGAACACCGGUGGCGAAGGCGGCAUCCUGGACCGACGACUGACGCUGAGGAGCGAAAGCCAGGGGAGCAAAGCGGG
rnacentral:rRNA from 1 species